rnacentral:rRNA from 1 species
GGAAUAUUGGGCAAUGGGCGCAAGCCUGACCCAGCGACGCCGCGUGAGGGAUGAAGGCCUUCGGGUUGUAAACCUCUUUCAGUAGGGAAGAAGCGAAAGUGACGGUACCUAAAGAAGAAGCACCGGCUAACUAUGUGCCAGCAGCCGCGGUAAUACAUAGGGUGCAAGCGUUGUCCGGAAUUAUUGGGCGUAAAGAGCUCGUAGGUCGUUUGCCGCGUCGAUUGUGAAAAUCUGAGGCUCAACCUCAGACCUGCAGUCGAUACGGGCAAACUAGAGUGUGGUAGGGGAGACUGGAAUUCCUGGUGUAGCGGUGGAAUGCGCAGAUAUCAGGAGGAACACCAAUGGCGAAGGCAGGUCUCUGGGCCAUAACUGACACUGAGGAGCGAAAGCGCGGGGAGCGAACAGGAUUAGAUACCCUGGUAGUCCGCGCCGUAAACGAUGGGCACUAGCUGUGAGAGCCUUCCACGGUUCUCGCGACGCAGCAAACGCAUUAAGUGCCCCGCCUGGGGAGUACGAUCGCAAGAUUAAAACUCAAAUGAAUUGACGGA